UACAGAGGGUGCGAGCGUUGUUCGGAAUUAUUGGGCGUAAAGGGCGCGUAGGCGGUGCGGUAAGUCACCUGUGAAAUCUCCUGGCUCAACUGGGAGCUUGCAGGCGAAACUGCCGUGCUGGAGUGUGGGAGAGGUGCGUGGAAUUCCCGGUGUAGAGGUGAAAUUCGUAGAUAUCGGGAGGAACACCGGUGGCGAAGGCGGCGACCUGGGUAGAUACUGACGCUGAGGUGCGAAAGCGUGGGGAGCAAACAGG
rnacentral:rRNA from 1 species